rnacentral:rRNA from 1 species
GACGAACGCUGGCGGCGUGCUUAGCACAUGCAAGUCGAACGGUAAGGCCCUUCGGGGUACACGAGUGGCGAACGGGUGAGUAACACGUGGGUGAUCUGCCCUGCACUUUGGGAUAAGCCUGGGAAACUGGGUCUAAUACCGGAUAGGACCACGGCCUGCAUGGGUUGUGGUGGAAAGCUUUUGCGGUGUAGGAUGGGCCCGCGGCCUAUCAGCUUGUUGGUGGGGUGAUGGCCUACCAAGGCGACGACGGGUAGCCGGCCUGAGAGGGUGUCCGGCCACAAUGGGACUGAGAUACGGCCCAGACUCCUACGGGAGGCAGCAGUGGGGAAUAUUGCACAAUGGGCGCAAGCCUGAUGCAGCGACGCCGCGUGGGGGAUGACGGCCUUCGGGUUGUAAACCUCUUUCACCAGGGACGAAGCGCAAGUGACGGUACCUGGAGAAGAAGCACCGGCCAACUACGUGCCAGCCGCCGCGGUAA